rnacentral:tRNA from 1 species
UCCCUGGUGGCUCAGAUGGCAAAGAAUCAGCCUGCGAUGCUGGAGACCUGGGUUCAAUUCCUAGGUUGGGAG